AUACGGAGGGUGCAAGCGUUACUCGGAAUCACUGGGCGUAAAGCGCGCGCAGGCGGUCUUUUAAGUUGGAUGUGAAAGCCUACGGCUCAACCGUAGAACUGCAUCCAAAACUAUUAGACUGGAGUGUGCGAGAGGAAGAUGGAAUUAGUUGUGUAAGGGUAAAAUCCGUAGAGAUAACUAGGAAUACCAAAAGCGAAGGCAAUCUUCUGGAACACUACUGACGCUGAGGCGCGAAAGCGUGGGGAGCAAACGGGAUUAGAAACCCUAGUAGUCC
rnacentral:rRNA from 1 species